GACAGAGGGUGCAAACGUUGUUCGGAAUUACUGGGCGUAAAGCGCGUGUAGGCGGCCCUGCAAGUCGGGUGUGAAAUCCCACGGCUCAACCGUGGAAGUGCACUCGAAAACUGCAGGGCUAGAGUCCUGGAGAGGAAGGUGGAAUGCUUGGUGUAGAGGUGAAAAUUUCGUAGAUAUCAAAGCGGAACACCGGUGGCGAAGGCGGCCUUCUGGACAGUG
rnacentral:rRNA from 1 species